CACCGCGGCGAGAUGUUAACGCCGAAGAGGCCUGUCUUGGCCUACUCUUCCACCCUGGCCCAGGCGUCUUUGUAAGCCGUGGGAGUGCCCCACACUUUACACCACCACCACGACCACCACCACCACCACCCCACGCGACCUGCCCGAUCAGAUCAUAGACCUCGCUGUAGGUGGAUUCAGUUUUGUGUUUGUUUACACCUCUGCUGGAUGGACAGACGCGAAGGUCGGAGGGAGGAGGAGUGAUUCGAGAAACGUGCAGCGUUGUCCCAAGUGCCGUGACGGGAGUUCGGUCCGAGGAUUCGAGCCGGCGGCCUCUGCGGACCCCGGUAUCCUCCCUCCCUCUCUCCCUUCUCCCGGGGAGAGGAGGUUGACUGGACACGAGGAGGAGGCUGAAGAGGAGGAGUGGGAGGAAGGGACAUGGGUAGACGUGCGGUGGAAAGUUAAGGAGGAGUUAUAACGGCUGUCGUCAUCAACAACAUCAACAACAGCAACAUCGACAAGAACGUCAUCAUCAACAACAUCAACAACAUCAACAACAUCAUCAUCGUCGUCUACGGGCUCUGAAGCACAACCCGCAAGUCGCCUGCCUCGGGUGUCUUCCUCUCGCUUAUGCGCCUCCAUCACCACCACCACCAUCAUCAGCAGCAGCAGCAGAUAUCUCGAUCAUAAUCAUCACUUCUUACGAUCUUCAUCUUGACUAACAAAUCACCAUCCGCUCGGUCACAAUCAACAACAACAUCAUCAUCAUCAGCAGCUCCACCCUCAUCAAUAUCAUCAGAGCCAUCGCCCCCACUAUUGUCAUCACCAUCAGCAACAACAACAUCAUCACACCCAUCAUCACCCCCUCCUCCCCUGCCCAUCCAUCACCUUCGCUCGCCACCACUCCCAUCACCAGGCACCCCGCGAUGGCCACCGUGGACCCCGCGUCUCGCCUCGCGGGGACUCUGCGGGCCCCCUCCUCCUCCUCCUCCUCCUCGCUCUCCCACGCCGACCUCGCCACGGCCGUGCCGGGGCUGCCCCCCAUCGGCGUCUCCUCGGACCCCGCGUGCCACGCUCCUCCCGGCGGCCUCCCCACCCCUCCAUCGUCCGCCUCCUCCUCGUCCUCCUCCUCGUCGUCCGCCG